UACGUAGGGCGCAAGCGUUUGUCCGGAAUUAUUGGGCGUAAAGAGCUCGUAGGCGGCUUGUCACGUCGGGGUGUGAAAGCCCGGGGCUUAACCCCGGGUCUGCAUUCGAUACGGGCAGGCUAGAGUGUGGUAGGGGAGAUCGGAAUUCCUGGUGUAGCGGUGAAAUGCGCAGAUAUAGGAGGAACACCGGUGGCGAAGGCGGAUCUCUGGGCCAUUACUGACGCUGAGGAGCGAAAGCGUGGGGAGCGAACAGG
rnacentral:rRNA from 1 species